UAGGGAAUCUUCCACAAUGGACGCAAGUCUGAUGGAGCAACGCCGCGUGUGUGAAGAAGGCCUUCGGGUUGUAAAGCACUUUCAGCGAGGAGGAAGGGUUCAGUGUUAAUAGCACUGUUCAUUGACGUUACUCGCAGAAGAAGCACCGGCUAACUCCGUGCCAGCAGCCGCGGUAAUACGGAGGGUGCAAGCGUUAAUCGGAAUUACUGGGCGUAAAGCGCACGCAGGCGGUUUGUUAAGUCAGAUGUGAAAUCCCCGCGCUUAACGUGGGAACU
rnacentral:rRNA from 1 species